GAAAGACACCCUAAAAGAGCCCUACUGUGCAACAGAGAGAAGACUGGAGCUCACAUCUCUGCAAGCUUUUGGCUCAUCAAUGCGCUGAAACAUUGUGAGAGCUUCUGUUGCUGAAGAUGACACAGUCAGACAGGUUCCUCACAGCUGAAUCCUAUUCAGGUCUGUAUGGUCUGCUCUGAAUGACCCAAACAGGACUGACUUUUCACUAAAGAAUUACUCACAGAGCUGAUAUAUGGCCAUGAGAAUUUUGUUGCAGACUGGAUCCAAGUAGACCCUUGGCUCUGCCAGCAACAAUUCUUCUGCUUCCAUCUUUGAAGGAUUUUCAAAAUUGCAGCUACG